rnacentral:rRNA from 1 species
AUUGAACGCUGGCGGCAUGCUUUACACAUGCAAGUCGAACGGCAGCGCGGGCUUCGGCCUGGCGGCGAGUGGCGAACGGGUGAGUAAUGCAUCGGAACGUGCCCAGAAGUGGGGGAUAGCCCGGCGAAAGCCGGAUUAAUACCGCAUACGACCUGAGGGUGAAAGCGGGGGACCGAAAGGCCUCGCGCUAUUGGAGCGGCCGAUGUCGGAUUAGCUAGUUGGUGGGGUAAAGGCUUACCAAGGCGACGAUCCGUAGCUGGUCUGAGAGGACGACCAGCCACACUGGGACUGAGACACGGCCCAGACUCCUACGGGAGGCAGCAGUGGGGAAUUUUGGACAAUGGGGGCAACCCUGAUCCAGCCAUGCCGCGUGCGGGAAGAAGGCCUUCGGGUUGUAAACCGCUUUUGUUCGGGAAGAAAUCCUCUGGGCUAAUACCCCGGGGGGAUGACGGUACCGGAAGAAUAAGCACCGGCUAACUACGUG